UACGUAGGGUGCAAGCGUUGUCCGGAAUUGUUGGGCGUAAAGAGCUCGUAGGCGGUCUGUCACGUCGGCUGUGAAAUCCCGAGGCUCAACCUCGGGUCUGCAGUCGAUACGGGCAAACUAGAGUAUUGCAGGGGAGACUGGAAUUCCUGGUGUAGCGGUGAAAUGCGCAGAUAUCAGGAGGAACACCGGUGGCGAAGGCGGGUCUCUGGGCAAUAACUGACGCUGAGGAGCGAAAGCGUGGGGAGCGAACAGG
rnacentral:rRNA from 1 species